AUCUAAUGUUUAUAUGGGUGUGGAGACCUGUACAGGAAAUCUAGAUGGAGAUAUUCUUACCUUUAAUACAUCUAACUCUGACUGUAACACUGAACAUAAGAUUAUUGAUGGCAAGGUUUACUUCACAAAUGCUGUCAAAUAUGCUGUGGCGCCACACGGUCACGUUUUAAAGAUUAUCCAAUGGGAAUAUGAUACAGCUUGCAGCGAAGCCGCGCAAGUUACAGAUUCGGUUUUAAUUAUCCCACAAUACAACUCAACAACCCACACGAACAUUUCCGGUCAAAUACAGGGGUCACCGGUUCAUAUAAGUCUGUAUAAAGACGCCACCUAUACGAACCCUCUUCAAGGGAAUGCACUCGACAUAACAAUUGGAUCGACCUUGUAUGUCCAAGUUGAAGCCCCUAGAAAUCUUGAUAUAGUCAUGGCUGUAAACAACUGUACAGUUCAUCUGAAUAACGUGCCACCAACGUCACACUCUUUGAUAGAGAAGGGAUGUGCUGUGGAUAAAGAAACUGAGAUCAUUAUAACCAGAAAUCAAGUAACCAGAUUUAAAUUUAUUAUGUUUGAUCUUCCACAUGACCAGAACGGCCUGUAUGUAACAUGUCAAGUUACCUUCUGUGAUCAACUGGAUUUUAGUUCAAAAUGUCAACAGACCUGUAUUAAUUAAUAAAACGUUUGUCUGGCUUGACGUUUGCUAUAUCUGAUCAUGAUCUUGCAGUUUGUUAAUAUAUUCUAACAUGUCCAUAUCCCAUUAGGCACCGACGAGAAUUUCAAUUACGAGUUGGUAGACAUAAGUAAUAUGCAGGAAUUAUAUAUUACAACCCCCAAGCAACUCAUAAAUCUAUAAUGCCUAUUACUGACCCCUUUGGUUUUCCAUAA